ACUUUUUCCAUCUAGCACUAAUUCCAUUUGCCUCCAAAAUGGUAUGGGUGUGUGGCAGAGUAUAUCAAAAUCGAGUUGUUAAGCCUUCAUUUUUCCAUUUGGUUGCAGUUAGUAGAAGAAAGUGAACAUUAGUCUUGGAUGAUGUUCUUGCAAACUCCUUCAUAUCACCAGGAACAUAUGACUUUGAAAAUGACAGACAAUUAACAUAGGAAGAACAUGAGCGAACUCUUGAACAGAACUUGGUCCUUGGCCUGAAUGACAUGAAUAACUCUACUGCAGAUGCAGCUUAUCCCUCAAAGCAGAAAUUCUAUCCACACAUUAUACUUAAGAGGUUGAUAGAGAACGUAUUGAGCUGGAGACUCUUCUCACUAUCUCUCUUUUUUUUGUCAUUGGACUUUCCUAAUAUUCUACCCAUCUAGCUGGGUUGAUUUUUCCGAGCUUUGGUGCCUUAAGUUUGCUAAUAGGUGCAGACUUAAGCAGAAACAUUGACCUUGGUGGUACAUUAAAGAUGUAAUAUUCCGCAUUCAUAAAAUGGAGAUUACAGGAUGAAUAACUUGGCCUAUGAGGCCAAUUGUCCUAGAGGAGUGUGGAGUUCGCAAUUACCCGUUUGUGCUUCAAAUUGACCCCUCGUGGAUCCUUUUUGUUGCCAAGUAUGAGUUGCACGAGCAACAUGGUAUAAAUUGCAAAGCUUAUGACUUUGUUUGUAGACGUAUGGCAGGAACUUUGAGGAACAGGAUUGGUGCCAAUAACAACCUCCAGUGUAGGGCCCAAUUUGGGGAACACAUUUCAUAGUAGAUUUGAUCAGAUUUUUUUGUAUUAAAAAUUAUUUAAUGACCACUUCUCGAUACAACACAGUACACAAGAGUUAACUUC